AACAAGGCGUACCUGCGGACCUGCGGAAGGAUCAUUAUCGAGUUGCAAAACUCCAACCCUUUGUGAACAUACCUCAGUCGUUGCUUCGGCGGUGGACGGCCUGUUUUUCGGAACGGCCGGAAGCCGCCGGAGGUUCCAAACUCGUAUUUUUUAGUGUAUCUCUGAGCCUGAAAACAAAUAAUCAAAACUUUCAGCAACGGAUCU
rnacentral:misc_RNA from 1 species